rnacentral:rRNA from 1 species
GAUGAACGCUGGCGGCGUGCCUAAUACAUGCAAGUCGAGCGAACGGACGAGAAGCUUGCUUCUCUGAUGUUAGCGGCGGACGGGUGAGUAACGCGUGGAUAACCUACCUAUAAGACUGGGAUAACUUCGGGAAACCGGAGCUAAUACCGGAUGAUAUUUUGAACCGCAUGGUUCAAAAGUGAAAGACGGUCUUGCUGUCACUUAUAGAUGGAUCCGCGCUGCAUUAGCUAGUUGGUAAGGUAACGGCUUACCAAGGCAACGAUGCAUAGCCGACCUGAGAGGGUGAUCGGCCACACUGGAACUGAGACACGGUCCAGACUCCUACGGGAGGCAGCAGUAGGGAAUCUUCCGCAAUGGGCGAAAGCCUGACGGAGCAACGCCGCGUGAGUGAUGAAGGUCUUCGGAUCGUAAAACUCUGUUAUUAGGGAAGAACAUAUGUGUAAGUAGCUGUGCACAUCUUGACGGUACCUAAUCAGAAAGCCACGGCUAACUACGUG